rnacentral:tRNA from 7 species
GGGCGGAUGGCGAAAUUGGUAGACGCACCACACUCAAAAUGUGGCGACUUCGGUCAUGUCGGUUCGAGUCCGACUCUGCCCACUA